UGAGGCUCAGUCUUGCCGAGGUGGUCGUUCUUCACAGGGUACUAGUGGUACUGGUGGUUUUGGUUCUGGAGGUCCUUAGAGGAGUUCUGUUAGUUCUGAGACACAGGAGAUCAUCAGGUUGCUCGGUCACCUUGUCUCCUCUACACCAUCAGGAGCUGCGGGUUCUGUAACUCAGCCUUCUGCACCUACAAGUUCUGCUGUUGCUUUUCAAUCUUCCACUCUGGGACCAUCUUCCAUGUCUACUCCAGGUAUUUGUCAUGGAUUCUUGAUUUUGGUGCUUCGUUUCAUAUGACUCCUUAUUGCACCUGUCUUUCUUCCAUACGUUCUCCAUCUGAUUCUCCCACUGUUCAUAUAGUCGAUGGUUCUUCUCUUCUUGUUGUAGGACAUGGCACUCUCCUAUCUGACUCUUUUCAUGUCCCUGAUAUUUCUUAUGUUCCUGAUCCGACCAUGCAGCUCAUGUCCGCUGGCCAGCUCACUAAUCAUGAUUGUCAUGUUAUUCUUGAUUCUAAUUUUUGUUAUGUUCAGGAUCAUCGCACGGGUCAGUUGGUUGGUACUGGCCCUCGUCGUUGUGAUUCCCAGCGUCUUUGGGAGCUUGACUAGUUUCAUCUUCUUUCCGCUGUGCCCGUCAGUCUAGUUGGCUCCGCUUUGGCUGCUUCGUCGACC
rnacentral:lncRNA from 1 species